GAUGAACGCUGGCGGCGUGCUUAACACAUGCAAGUCGAACGAAACACCUUAUUUGAUUUUCUUCGGAACUGAAGAUUUGGUGAUUGAGUGGCGGACGGGUGAGUAACGCGUGGGUAACCUGCCCUGUACAGGGGGAUAACAGUCAGAAAUGACUGCUAAUACCGCAUAAGACCACAGCACCGCAUGGUGCAGGGGUAAAAACUCCGGUGGUACAGGAUGGACCCGCGUCUGAUUAGCUGGUUGGUGAGGUAACGGCUCACCAAGGCGACGAUCAGUAGCCGGCUUGAGAGAGUGAACGGCCACAUUGGGACUGAGACACGGCCCAAACUCCUACGGGAGGCAGCAGUGGGGAAUAUUGCACAAUGGGGGAAACCCUGAUGCAGCGACGCCGCGUGAGUGAAGAAGUAUUUCGGUAUGUAAAGCUCUAUCAGCAG
rnacentral:rRNA from 1 species